rnacentral:rRNA from 1 species
GAGUUUGAUCCUGGCUCAGGAUGAACGCUGGCGGCGUGCUUAACACAUGCAAGUCGAACGGGAAAUACUUUAUUGAAACUUCGGUCGAUUUAAUUUAUUUCUAGUGGCGGACGGGUGAGUAACGCGUGGGUAACCUGCCUUAUACUGGGGGAUAACAGCCAGAAAUGACUGCUAAUACCGCAUAAGCGCACAGAACCGCAUGGUUCCGUGUGAAAAACUCCGGUGGUAUAAGAUGGACCCGCGUUGGAUUAGCUAGUUGGCAGGGCAGCGGCCUACCAAGGCGACGAUCCAUAGCCGGCCUGAGAGGGUGAACGGCCACAUUGGGACUGAGACACGGCCCAGACUCCUACGGGAGGCAGCAGUGGGGAAUAUUGCACAAUGGGGGAAACCCUGAUGCAGCGACGCCGCGUGAAGGAAGAAGUAUCUCGGUAUGUAAACUUCUAUCAGCAGGGAAGAAAAUGACGGUACCUGACUAAGAAGCCCCGGCUAACUACGUGCCAGCCGCCGCGGUAAUAC